GUCCACGCUGUAAACGAUGAAUACUUGGUGUUGGUCCCAUUGGGAUCAGUGCCGAAGCUAACGCAUUAAGUAUUCCACCUGGGGAGUACGAUCGCAAGGUUGAAACUCAAAGGAAUUGACGGGGGCCCGCACAAGCAGUGGAGCAUGUGGUUUAAUUCGAUGCAACGCGAAGAACCUUACCUAGGCUUGAAAAGCAAGUGACAGGUUGUGAAAGCAACCCUCCCGCAAGGGUACUUGUACAGGUGCUGCAUGGCUGUCGU
rnacentral:rRNA from 1 species